AUUGAACGCUGGCGGCAUGCUUUACACAUGCAAGUCGAACGGCAGCACGGACUUCGGUCUGGUGGCGAGUGGCGAACGGGUGAGUAAUACAUCGGAACGUACCCAGUAAUGGGGGAUAACUAUACGAAAGGAUAGCUAAUACCGCAUACGCCCUACGGGGGAAAGAGGGGGAUCGCAAGACCUCUUGUGAUUGGAGCGGCCGAUGGCUGAUUAGCUAGUUGGUAGGGUAAAGGCCUACCAAGGAAACGAUCAGUAGCGGGUCUUAGAGGACGAUCCGCCACACUGGAACUGAGACACGGUCCAGACUCCUACGGGAGGCAGCAGUGGGGAAUCUUGGACAAUGGGCGCAAGCCUGAUCCAGCAAUGCCGCGUGCGUGAAGAAGGCCUUCGGGUUGUAAAGCGCUUUUGUCAGGGAGCAAAUCCUUGUGGCUAAUACCCACCGGGGAUGAGAGUACCUGAAGAAUAAGGACCGGCUAACUACGUGCCAGCCGCCGCCGUAACAC
rnacentral:rRNA from 1 species